UAGGGAAUCUUCCACAAUGGACGCAAGUCUGAUGGAGCAACGCCGCGUGAGUGAAGAAGGUUUUCGGACCGUAAAGCUCUGUUGUUGGUGAAGAAGGAUAGAGGUAGUAACUGGCCUUUAUUUGACGGUAAUCAACCAGAAAGUCACGGCUAACUACGUGCCAGCAGCCGCGGUAAUACGUAGGUGGCAAAGCGUUGUCCGGAUUUAUUGGGCGUAAAAGCGAGCGCAGGCGGAAGAAUAAGUCUGAUGUGAAAGCCCUCGGCUUAACCGAGGAAUUGCAUCGGAAACUGUUUUCUUGAGUGCAGAAGAGGAGAGUAGAACUCCAUGUGUAGCGGUGGAAUGCGUAGAUAUAUGGAAGAAUACCAGUGGCGAAGGCGGCUCUCUGGUCUGCAACUGACGCUGAGGCUCGAAAGCAUGGGUAGCGAACAGGAUUAGAUACCCUGGUAGUCCAUGCCGUAAACGAUGAGUGCUAAGUGUUGGGAGGCUUCCGCCUCUCAGUGCUGCAGCUAACGCAUUAAGCACUCCGCCUGGGGGAGUACGACCGCAAGGUUGAA
rnacentral:rRNA from 1 species